CUGCUUCAGCAUCCAAGUCUUGAGGGGCCAUGAGAGCAGAGGUAGCCAAGUCGUCGUCACAUUAAGGCAGAGUGAGGACGUAAUUAGCUCAUUAGCGUUUAAGUGUUGGUUCGAUAUACAACCUUUGAUCUGUGUGGUUUGUUAUAGAUCUAAUGACCCAUGAAGAAAGUUUUCACUGGAUACUUUCUCUACGCAAGUUUUUAUCUAAUUGUUGCAUUUCUCAUAGUGUUAUAGGGGUAUUUUGUAACCUAGAGCAAUCAGACACACUUUCUAUCCGAAAAUGAAAUCUGAACAUCUAUUGUAGUGAAGUUAAACAAUGCAUGUAGCUUAGUUUUAAUAUGUUAACUAAUGUACCUACUUACAGUGAUCUUUUAACUCAAUGAGAAUUACAGAAAUUUGCUUGGCGAACGCCUCGUGUCACUUGGCAUCAAAGAGCCAAAGCUGCUUGAAAAGCAACUUGAUUCAUCCUCAAGACACAACAUAUGCUUCUUCAUCUCACUGGUCUCUAGAGGAAGGAAGAGAUCUUGUCUGAAGCAAAUGAGUGCCUUAGAAGAAAAGAAAAUGUAAUUGCCCAUUGCACGUAUUAAUU